GAUCUUGGCUUCCCUGCUGUUUAGAGGAAGUUGAAGGCGCAGACCGGACAGUGUUGAGCCAACACUACCCAGUUUACUAAUGGACCGUGCUGGCCCUGUCUAGCCAAGUUGUGCCAAACCUGGUUGUGAAAACUCUGAUGUUUGCCCUUUUGAAGUAUUCAAGGAACGAAUAGCUAUUCCUCAUUUAAAGCAUGAUUACACGGCUCUUUGCAAUAUGGAAUCAGAUCAAACAGAGCAAACUGCCUCGGUCAAUACAUUAUCCCAAAUGUUAAGUUGGCUUUUCCCAGUGAGGAAUAGCAAUAGACGAGCCCAGAAAGUUGAGUUGUAGUUUUAUUAACAUAGAGCCAUAACUCUCGCAUUUUCCCUAACUUGACUAUUGCCUCUUGACUUUCUUAAUUUGUCAUUGAUCCAGCGGUUCCUUCUAACAGGUUACAGUUUGAGCAAGAUCACGUCUUAGACAGAGCUAUUUGUACUCUUUUUUUGGCAUACCUAUUUUUAGCAUUUGUCAAGUUUUAACUCUUAACUCUUAAGCAGCAGAUUGUGUUUCUAUUCACAAUCUUCUUCAGAUUAACAAUUUGAAGAAAUAUGCAUCCAUUUGGGAAGUUGAUGACUGCAGAGAGCAUAUGUUUAUCCAGGUCACCCUUAUAUGUGCAAAUUUGGGGCUAAUGAAUUGUUAAUUCUGGAGUAUCGAUGCUUUUUUAUUUUGCUGUUGCAGUUUGAACCAGCUCCACGGAGAGGGGAAUCUAAUUUAACUCGGAGAACAUCUGAUUAUUUCUUGUAGCGCUGAUAGUUACUGACUUGAUGUUUGCAUUAUGGUUGGUUGGAGUUGUUACAUUUCCUUUGCCGAUAUUUGAGCUUCUCAAUUUACUAGGCCCUUUUGAAGGUGGAAAAAGGCUUGUAAAGUGCAAGAUAAUAUUCGACUGUCCAAAUAAUAUUCUUUCUUAGGGUGGUCCCUGAAAUUGAGAAAUUGUGCUCCUUUUUAU